rnacentral:rRNA from 1 species
CAGUAGCCGCGGUAAUACGAAGGGUGCAAGCGUUAAUCGGAAUUACUGGGCGUAAAGCGCGCGUAGGUGGUUUGUUAAGUUGGAUGUGAAAUCCCCGGGCUCAACCUGGGAACUGCAUUCAAAACUGACUGACUAGAGUAUGGUAGAGGGUGGUGGAAUUUCCUGUGUAGCGGUGAAAUGCGUAGAUAUAGGAAGGAACACCAGUGGCGAAGGCGACCACCUGGACUAAUACUGACACUGAGGUGCGAAAGCGUGGGAGCAAACAGGAUUAGAUACCCCCGUAGUCCCUGUCUCUUAUACA